AGGCAGUUCGGCAGUUUGGCGUGGGGGUGGUGGAGCGUCCAUGUGUUGGUAUUUUAAGUUGGUGUGUCGACAGAGCAAUGCAUUUUUAUUAGUGGCUUGUUUUAGUGACAAAGACAACGUGUAAACUGAGGUAUCAUAAAUGGCAUUGUGGUUAAUUUUAAAUGGCGAAAGAUAAAUUGCGACAAAACUACACCAUAAAUGUUAAAUGGCGAAUGAAUUAUGAAAGCGAGUACGCUUGCAGCUAGAAAACAGAUUUAAUGCUCUCUUUGAAGCGACCACUGUGAGGAAGAGAAGGAAGAAGGCAAAAUGUUCUAAAUGUAACUAAAGCAGUGAUUUUUCGAGUGAUCCGAACUGAUUUGUAUCGAUUUUGGUGUGUCACGUAGUAUUUUCAACUCUCACCCAUUAGAGGGGCAGUAGUAUUAUCUUUGGAAUAUGGAACGAAAAAUAUAUAUACAAACAACUGAAAGGCACUUUUAUCUCAAUAUUUUCAUUAAAUGUUCUUGUGCUCAUUCUAUGGAUAUAUGGAGUGACUUUCUUGAACCACGUCAAGCAUGAUAAAAUAAUCAGUAAUCACUACUUAUAUUCAUGAUAUGCUAGUUACCUUAUAGCCGUCUUUAAGUUGUGGACUAGUUACACUGGAAUAUGAGGUCCACAAGGCUAGCAAUGCCGCCUGCCUUACGUAUAUGUGUCUGCUUUCUGCAACCUCACGGAGAAUUUAAGAGAACUUCACAACCGUUGUCUAAACCUAGCAUGCAUUGGAAAAUGCUGGCUGGGAUUGGGAGGCGGAUGGAAGGGGAGACGUCAGUAUUCCCCGGUCCUUACUCCGCAGUCCAUUUUGGACCUGUCGAGGGUAUCUUCACCUGGAAGUGGCUAUUGAAAUCUAACCUUAAGACAUAUAGUCGGAUUUACUUUUGUUUAGCUGGUUCAGGAUGGCGCUAUGUCCCCAAUCCAACCUCCGAAUUAUUUUAUUCUUAUAGCAGAGCUUGUUGCUGCUUUACAAGUAAAGACAUCUGUAGCCAACUGAUGCAGGAGUAUAUUGAGUGCACCAGUGGGACAUUAUUUAAUAGCCCCGGUAACCAAUGCACAGCUGUGAGCGCUAAAACUGGCAAUACUGACCGGCAGUCAGCUCACCAAAUCAGCAAAGGCGAAAAAUGGUGGCCGCAAUAACUGAUCAAGUGUGAUCUCCGCGACUUGCAUUCCGCUGUUCAAGUAGUAUAGUGCUUAACUUUACCUAACCUAAAUAUUAUAAAUCAUGAAAUCAUUUUGUAGUGACUCAGCUUCAGCUUUACUAUGGCAAAAACUAUAAUGAAUGCCAUGUAGAUUUUAUGUUGCAAAAUAA